rnacentral:rRNA from 1 species
UACGUAGGGGGCGAGCGUUGUCCGGAUUUAUUGGGCGUAAAGAGCUCGUAGGCGGUUCGAUAAGUCGGACGUGAAAUCUCCACGCUCAACGUGGAGGGGCCGUUCGAUACUGUCGUGACUCGAGUCCGGUAGGGGAGUGUGGAAUUCCCGGUGUAGCGGUGAAAUGCGCAGAGAUCGGGAGGAACACCGGUGGCGAAGGCGCCACUCUGGGCCGAAACUGACGCUGAGGAGCGAAAGCAUGGGUAGCAAACAGG